GAGGGCGCGCGCCCGGGCGCGGAGCAGCUCUGUAGCUGCAGGAGCAGUGUGGGGCGCGGCCGCACCCCCUUCACGGUGCUUCUCCAAAUUUGUUUGUUUUCUAUUUUUUCCCCACUCUCCCUCCCCCACCGCGUCCUCCGAUGCGCGCUGUGAGAAGGUGGCAUUUCCUCACGGGUUGUGAUAUUGCUUCGCUAAAAGGCGCGCUGCCGUUCGGCCCCCGUUAAAUCCCUUCUAGGUGUUGAGCAGCUCCUCUGAGAUCCUGAGUCUUCUGGCUGCCUGCUGAAGUCAACAUGAACAGGGAGGGGGGAUCUCAGUACCACAUCUUGUUGCGCCCCUCAGGAUGAAACUCAUCGUGCCGGCCACCAGCCUCAAGCAGAAGUGUGCUUGGGAUUUCACCAUGCUGCUCUGAUAUGGUGUGACCAAAGCCCCAAAAUGGGGACACUCGACUCUACUGCUGUUUCAUAACCUGUUUAAUAAAAACGCAUAGUGCUUGUUUGCA